rnacentral:tRNA from 1 species
AGUAUCAUGCCGUGGCUUAAGUUACAAAGCGCCCUGUCUAGUAAACAGGAGAUCAUGGGUUCGAAUCCCAUCGGUGCCU